rnacentral:ncRNA from 1 species
AAUAAACCAAUGAGAAAGAAGAGUAGUUCAUAAGAAACUGACUCAGAGAACCGCAGGUGGUGGGAUUGCGGUACAGGGACUGUGAAUGAAUGGACUUUUGAGGGCAAGCUGAAGGAAUCAGGCAGAUUCUUGUAGGUGAGACGGCUGUUCCCCGUUACAGGAAAACACAUAUGUUGGUAUGUGGUAAAGAGUGGGCAUAUUAUGUAUGUCAAGCAAGGUGGUACCGCAGGAGUAUGAUUAUCAGCUCUUGUCCUUGUC